rnacentral:rRNA from 1 species
GUAGGGUGCGAGCGUUAAUCGGAAUUACUGGGCGUAAAGUGUGCGCAGGCGGCGUUGCAAGUCGAGUGUGAAAGCCCCGGGCUUAACUUGGGAAUUGCGCUCGAAACUACGAUGCUGGAGUGUGGCAGAGGAAGGUGGAAUUCCACGUGUAGCGGUGAAAUGCGUAGAGAUGUGGAGGAACACCGAUAGCGAAGGCAGCCUUCUGGGCCAACACUGACGCUCAUGCACGAAAGCGUGGGGAGCAAACAGGAUUAGAUACCCUGGUAGUCCACGCCCUAAACGAUGAUGACUAGUUGUUGGAGGAGUUAAAUCCUUUAGUAACGCAGCUAACGCGUGAAGUCAUCCGCCUGGGGAGUACGGUCGCAAGAUUA